rnacentral:rRNA from 1 species
AUCUAAGUACCCCGAGGAAAAGAAAUCAACCGAGAUUCCCCCAGUAGCGGCGAGCGAACGGGGAGGAGCCCAGAGCCUGAAUCAGCAUGUGUGUUAGUGGAAGCGUCUGGAAAGGCGCGCGAUACAGGGUGACAGCCCCGUACACAAAAGCGCAUGUGCUGUGAGCUCGAUGAGUAGGGCGGGACACGUGGUAUCCUGUCUGAAUAUGGGGGGACCAUCCUCCAAGGCUAAAUACUCCUGACUGACCGAUAGUGAACCAGUACCGUGAGGGAAAGGCGAAAAGAACCCCGGCGAGGGGAGUGAAAAAGAACCUGAAACCGUGUACGUACAAGCAGUGGGAGCACAGGUUUACCUGUGUGACUGCGUACCUUUUGUAUAAUGGGUCAGCGACUUAUAUUCUGUAGCAAGGUUAACCGUAUAGGGGAGCCGGAGGGAAACCGAGUCUUAAC